rnacentral:lncRNA from 1 species
CAAGUUAAAUUGUUCCCCAUGUAUGCUAGAUAGGAAUAUAACCUUGGAAAUUCAACUUUGCAUGAUAAUUAGACAAACAUAGAUCCAAGGUUAUUAGGGUUGCAUGUACACUUAGGAAGUGUUAGAAUGCUCAAAACCCAUCAGUGGUAUCAGAGCCUAGGCUUGUUUGUUUGUUAUUUGUGCUUAAAAGUUGAAGAAAGUCGAAAAUUCUGCUGUCUGACUGAUGGACUCGGCGAGUCCAUGGGGAGGACUCGUCGAGUUCAUGUGUAUCUUCAACCUACUCGGCGAGUAGGUUUAUGCACUCGGCGAGUAGGGUCGACAGAGUGCAGAAUUUCGACUUGAGUUGCUGGAAAUGGAUUAGAAUCAUUACCCUAAAAUGUUUUGGUACUUGAAAACUUAUUUUAGAAGGUGUAAUGUCUUUUCUAACUCAUUUACAACAACUAGUUAUCAAAAUUACAAAGAUUAAAUGUGAUUUUGAUUCUUGAAAGUGUUCAUAUUCAUAUUCUUGUUCUUAUGAUGUUUAGAUGAUCAUAGGAAUUAUUUGUAACCUAUGUGGUAGAUUAAUUCAUGAUCAUAAUGUGUUUUAAUGGAGUCCAUAACUUGUCCUCAAGUUAUGGAAAACCAAAAGUCUCUUGGAUUAAAAACCAUUAAAAGAACACAAGAGUUAGGAAAAAUGAAAAGUCCUCAUUUUAUUACUCUAUUAAACUCAUAAGUUACAAGAAAUGAAAAGUUUUGAAAGUUUACAAAACUUGCCCUCAAGUUUUGGAACAAGUAAAGUUAAGUUAAAACUUUAGUUCCAACCCCUAGAAUUUUAAAAGUUAAAAUUCAACCCUUAUACUUAUAUUAUUAUGAUUUAAUAAUUAUAUAUAUAUGUAUAAGAACAAAGUCGUCUUACCGCUAGUACGCCUCAUUCACGAAGCCGGUCUAUAAGGUGGGUAUAAGGUUGUUGCCUAUAAAAUGGUGACUUAAUGGGUGUCCACUCUCACCCACCGCUUGCUUGAUCGGUGGAGGGUCGUUAGCCGAACGGGUAAGACAAGGACUUAUUAAUUCUCAUUCAAAGUAUGAUGAAUAUUAUAAAGUAACUAAAUGUUUUAUUAAAUUCCCAAUCUUAGUUACUUUAGGAAAAAUGUGAAUAAGGUGCUAUUCCAUGAAAUUACACUUUACACUUUGAUUAAGUCGUUGGUGGAGCGUGUGUGGUUAACCGGCACACUAACUUGGACUUAACAAGGUAGGUAAAGGGUGACUUAGGGUUUAUUAUAGUAUCGAUGGAGCGUGUGUGGUUAACCGGCACAUCGAUUGAGUGAUAAACUUUAAGGGUACCAAGUGAUUUGCAUGGUUACUUCACACCUCGUUUUGUGAUCCUCGGUAUCCCAGUCACAAAACUUGGAGGGCACACUCGAGAUUGAAACAUGCCUUUGAAAAGUUCAUUGAAUCUCAAAGAAUCUAGGAAUUUCUAAGAACCAUUCAAAAACCUAAUACUAAAAUAUUGCGGUUUUCGUGGUGGAAAUUGGUGAAUCGUCAUUCACCUACCUUUCAAAUAUGAUAUAGCUUAGAUUACGGCAUACCUCUUCUAAGUUAUAUUAUAUUGUGAUUGGAUCCUAGCCUUAAUAUUACAUUUGGGUGUUUUAUUAAGGACUCUCUUAUAUCUAAACUAAUCUUGUCCUCUUUCCUUCAGAUGUCUUUCAACAAUGCUUCUGGCUCUAAUCCUAAUGGCUCCUUUACCCUUAUGAACUUGUGUGGGAAAGUCACCUUUGAUGGAUCCAACUUCAAUGAGUGGAUCAGAAACAUCAGGAUGAUUACCCGCUACGAGGACAAAGAAUAUGUCCUUGACAAGGAGCUUAAGGAGAUUGAUGAGUCCACUGCAACUCCUCAGGAGAUCGCUGAAUUUCGGGCACAUGAAAGGGAUGCUACGAAAGUGGCUUGCAUCAUGAUGGCCACGAUGACAGCGGAACUCCAAAAGUCUUAUGAGGAUUUCUACCCUUAUGACAUGCACCAAGAUUUGAUGGAAAGAUACCAUCAAAGUGCAAGACAAGAGAGGUAUGAAAUCAUCUGCUCCAUGAUAACAACCAUGAUGAAGGACGGGGAAUCCGUCACGAGCCACAUGCAGAAAAUGCAAAGGUAUGUGGAUCGUUUGCUGAAGCUUAAUGUGAACUUCCCGGAGGAUCUUGCAAUAGAUAUUAUUUUGCAUUCCUUACCAUCGUGCUAUGAUCAAUUCCGCAUGACAUAUCACAUGAACAAGGAAGAAGUCACCCUCAGCAAACUUCAGGGACUUCUCAAGACCGCAGAAACAGGUCUUAAGGGGAAGUCGGUUGCUAUCACUCCUACUCAAAACUCUACUCCGGUUUUGGCAAUCGGGAAAAGUCGAGGGAGGAAGAGAAAGAGCUCUUCUAAGGGUACCAAGGCUCGGACCCUUGAUGGCUCUUCUUCAAGUGGAACCAAGAAAGGUUUCGUUACUCCUUCUUCUGACCCAAAAGAGGCUGAAUGCUUCUAUUGCCAUGAAAAAGCUCAUUGGAAGCGGAACUGCCCAAAAUACCAGCAAGAUGUGAAGGAUGGGAAAGUUAAACCCAACCAUGCAGGUAUUUACACUAUCAUUUCUAAUAACUCACCCCAUUCUAAUUCUUGGGUCCUUGAUACCGGGUGUGGUAUUCACAUUUGUUGUGACUUGCAGGGACUAAGAAGAAGUGAGGAUGUGGAGCAAGGAAGGAUAAACUUGAUCAUGGGGAAUAGGAAAGCUAUACCUGUUACCAAGAUUGGAGUUUAUACUUUAUCGCUAAGUAGUGGGUUUAGUUUAGAUUUGAAUAAGUGUUGUUAUUCGCCAGGAAUGGCAAGAAAUAUUAUUUCCUUUCAUGCUUUGUACAAACAAGGGUUUACCUUUUCAUUUAAUAAUGAAGUUGGUUCUAUAGAUGUUUUCUAUAAUAAUGUCUUUUAUUUUAAAGCAUUACCUUGUGAUGGUGUGUAUGAAGCUGUAUCUGUUGUAGAUAACUUGGGAAAUAAUGUUUUGUGUAUUGAUUCUACUAAUAAUAACUUGGAUAAAGCAUCUUUAUGGCAUUGUCGUCUUGGACAUAUAAGCAAGAAACGCAUAGGCCAACUCCAAAAGGAUGGAGUCUUGGAGUCGUUUGACCUAAAGUCAGAUGAUAGUUGCGAAUCAUGCUUACUUGGAAAAAUGACAAAGUCACCCUUCACAGGUUCGUGUGAGAGGGGUGAAGGUUUGUUGGACCUUAUACACACGGAUGUGUGUGGACCAUUCAAACAUGCCACAAGGGAUGCUAAUCGUUAUUAUUUGACUUUUACUGAUGAUUAUAGUAGAUAUGGAUAUGUCUACUUGAUCAAGCAUAAGUCAGAGACUUUCGAGAGGUUUAAGGAAUUUAAACAGGAAGUCGAGAAUCAAUUGGGCAGGAACAUUAAGAUGCUUCGAUCCGAUCGUGGUGGUGAGUAUCUUAGUUCAGAGUUCCUCGACUAUCUAAGGGAAUGUGGGAUAGUCUCACAAUUGACACCUCCCAGGACACCACAGUUGAAUGGUGUGGCUGAGAGGCGUAAUCGAACCUUGUUAGAUAUGGUUCGUUCCAUGAUGAGUCGAGCUACGCUACCAAUCUCAUUCUGGGGGUAUGCCUUAGAGACUGCCGCCCAUAUUCUUAAUCUAGUCCCUACAAAGAAAGUUGCCAAAACUCCUCACGAGAUGUGGACUGGUAAAGUACCUAAACUAGACCACAUCAAGAUUUGGGGUUGCGAGGCUUUCGUGAGACGCGAGACUCAUGAUAAGCUCGAACCUCGAAGCGAGAGGUGUAUUUUCAUCGGUUACCCACAGCGAUCCUUUGGUUACCUCUUCUACAGACCUAGUGACAAUGUGGUCUUUGUAGCAAGAAGAGGAGUCUUUCGAGAAAGAGAGUUUAUAAGCCAAGGAGACAGUGGGAGGCAAAUUGAUCUUGAAGAAAUUCAAGAAUCAAGCGGUGAAGGAACUUCAAACUCUAGCCCUCAACUUGAGGAGGAAACUCCUGUUGAGCCAAUUGACAAAUCUGUACCUCUGAGACGUUCCACGAGAGUUAGGAGUGCACCUGAGCAUUACUAUGGAUUCCAUAUUACUGCAGAAGGUGAGACACUUAUUAGUGAUGAGACACUAGUAAGUCAAGAUGACCCUAACAGCUACGAGGAAGCCAUGGCAGGCCCCGAGUCUGCUAAAUGGAAAGAGGCUAUGGAUAGCGAGAUACAAUCCAUGUAUGACAAUCAAGUUUGGAACUUGGUUGAAAAUGUACCAGGUCGUAAGACAGUAGGGUGCAAAUGGGUCUUCAAGAAGAAGACCGACAUGGAUGGUAAAGUACACACUUAUAAGGCUAGACUGGUUGCAAAGGGCUUCUCUCAAAUUCCUGGAGUGGAUUAUGAUGAGACCUUUUCUCCGGUAGCCAAGAUUAAGUCUAUUCGGGUUCUGUUAGCCAUAGCUGCAUUUCAUGACUAUGAAAUAUGGCAGAUGGAUGUCAAAACCGCUUUCCUUAAUGGAAAGUUGGCUGAAGAUGUUUACAUGAGUCAGCCAGAGGGUUUUGUCAGCAACGAGUACCCUAAUAGAGUGUGUAAGCUUGAGAAAUCCAUUUAUGGAUUGAAGCAAGCACCUCGCAGAUGGAAUCUUUGCUUUGAUGAAAAGGUCAAGGAAUUUGGCUUUUCUAGGAGUGAAGAUGAAUCUUGUGUGUAUGUCAAGGCUAGUGGGAGUAUAGUUAGCUUUUUGGUAUUGUAUGUGGAUGACAUACUACUCAUAGGAAACGACAUUCCAACCCUGCAGGAAGUAAAGUCCUGGCUUGGGAAGUGUUUCGCUAUGAAGGACCUUGGUGAAGCUGCCUAUAUUCUAGGGAUAAGAAUCUUGAGAGAUCGGAGUAAAAGACUAAUUGGACUUAGUCAGAGUACCUACUUGGAUAAGGUGCUGAAGAGAUUCAGCAUGCAGGAUUCCAAGAAAGGAGAGUUACCCAUCCAGAGUAACACCAGAUUGAGUAAGACACAAAGCCCUAGCACUGAGGCUGAGAUAGCAGAAAUGAGUCGAACACCUUACGCUUCGGCUGUAGGAUCGAUCAUGUAUGCUAUGACGUGUACUCGACCCGAUGUAGCUUUUGCCUUGAGCAUGGUUAGCAGGUAUCAGGCGAACCCUGGCAAGGCACACUGGACUGCGGUAAAGAAUAUCCUCAAGUACCUACGGAGGACUAAGGACUGGGUCCUUACCCUCGGUGGGAGUGAUGACUUGAGAGUUGUAGGGUAUAGUGAUGCUAGCUUCCAGACUGAUAGGGAUAAUUUCCGCUCUCAGUCGGGCUGGGUCUUUACCCUAAACGGAGGAGCAAUUUCUUGGAAGAGUUCCAAGCAAGAGACAGUGGCAGAUUCUACUUGUGAAUCAGAGUAUAUUGCAGCUAGUGAAGCAGCAAAGGAGGCGAUAUGGCUGAAGAACUUCAUUGGAGACCUUGGAGUUGUACCAGCUAUUAAAGAGCCAAUGGAAAUUUUCUGUGAUAGUGAAAGUGCUGUUGCCUUAGCCAAGGAACCAAGGGAUCAUGGGAGAUCCAGACACAUCGACAGAAAAUACCAUUUCAUUAGACAUCGGAUCGAAGAAGGACUCCUCGUGGCAAAGAGGGUAUCAUCGGAUGAGAACCCAGCAGAUCCCCUCACGAAGGGACUGAGUAGGGUUAAGCAUCUCCAGCAUGCUCGGAGCAUAGGGCUGAAGGAUGAUAUAAGUUUUAGUAGUUAGAUAACCCAGAAAUUUGUAAAGUGUAAUUGACAUUUGAUGAUGAAUAAAAGGUGUUUUAUUUAUGAGUAAAGUGUUGCUAUCUCUUGUCGAUCGUUUACUAUAUUUCUUUUGCAUGUUUUGACUUCCAGAAUAAUUUUGUUUGGUAUAACAUAUUAUUCAAACCUCCACAGUCGGUCAUAUGUUGGAAGUAGAUAUGAAUCAAGACUGUCAUGUUUGGUUGUAGAGGUCUUGGACAAGGCUACAACAAUCAUGAGUGCUCAUAAGUUCUGAGCAUUGGACUCAACCCACGCUCACUGGAAUCACUUCAUGGAAUUCUAUCUCGAGUGAUCGUGAGACGGUAAUAUCAUAUAAGUCUUCAAACCUAGAGAUAUGAUUUGUUACUUACAAGUUGGUUAUGCAUUGACUGUACGAAACCGCAUUGGUAACUCGAUGUUAUAAAACGUACUUUUGUGUGUAAUUCAAUGAGUGGUAGAACAAACAUAUGAGUCGAAGUUUAUCUGUUCCUUCUUGGAUUAGAAGCUGAUAUCUGGGCCCCUCGAUGAUUUUGUUUUGACCCAUGUACCGGGCCCGGUCAGAACUAAGUUGAUGUGUUCAAUUAAGUUCUAUGUCAAACAAAUCGGAAAUCGGGAAACAAAUGCUGGACAAUAAGCAAGACAAUGUUCCAUGUAUUUGUCCGGCUGAUAUCUAGAACGGAGGAUUAUAUGAUCACUUAUCUUAAAUGGCGUACCAUCAUCUUCUCAGUUCCGAGAGACCUUGAAAGAGCUACGAUUGCCGGUCGGUUCCUGAAGUACUAGAGAUAUAGUUAUUAGACUUAUCCAAGUGGGAGACUGUUGGAUAAGGUGUCUAAGUCCAUAACUAUUUCGGGCUUGUACUUGACCCGACCCGGCAUGGUCCAUUUGGGUUGCAUGGCACCAUGCAAUUGGAUAGACUAAAUGAGAGAAAUAACACUUGGAGAUUAUUAAUAUAUUAUAAGUUCUAAUAUAUUAAUAAUAUUAUUUGAUUAGUUGAUCAAAGAAUUAAUUUGGAAUUAAUUAAGUGAUCAAAGGAUAACUAAUUAAAUAUAUGGGUUGAUUAUGUAAAUCAUCCAUAUCUUGUAUAGUGGGCUAAGAGGCUCCAUGGAUUAUCAAGUUGGGUUCUACCCAUAGGAUGCUCCAUGGAUGCUCCAUGGGAGUUACAAACCCAUGGGUCAUGGAAAUGAAGAGUCAUGACACAUUAGGGUUUACAUGGUGUAACCCUAGAUGUGUCAACACUAUAUAAGGAUCCCAUUCUCCACCAAAAUCGGCUAGACAUAAGAAACUAGAGGGCUUGGCCGAUUUUAAGAAGUGUGUAUUAUCUCAAAAGUCUUUCCAAGAGCAUUUGGUGUUGUGUGAAGCAUUUGAGGCAUCACACUUGGGGUGCUAGGCUCACAAGGUUUCAAGGAACAUAAGCUACAACAAGGUAGGUUAUUCUAUCUUUCAUUCAAGUUAAAUUGUUCCCCAUGUAUGCUAGAUAGGAAUAUAACCUUGGAAAUUCAACUUUGCAUGAUAAUUAGACAAACAUAGAUCCAAGGUUAUUAGGGUUGCAUGUACACUUAGGAAGUGUUAGAAUGCUCAAAACCCAUCAGUGGUAUCAGAGCCUAGGCUUGUUUGUUUGUUAUUUGUGCUUAAAAGUUGAAGAAAGUCGAAAAACUUGCUGUCUGACUGCUGGACUCGUCGAGUCCAUGGGGGGACUCGUCGAGUUCACUUGUAUCUUCAACCUACUCGGCGAGUAGGUUCAUGCACUUGACGAGUAGGGUCGACAGAGUGC